rnacentral:siRNA from 1 species
GUUAGCUGGAGAUGUUAGGU